rnacentral:rRNA from 1 species
GACGUAGGGGGCCCAGCGUUGCUCGGAAUAACUGGGCGUAAAGGGUCCGUAGGCGGUGCAGCAAGUCGGGAGUGAAAUUUCUGGGCUUAACCCAGAAUCGGCUUCCGAAACUGCUGUGCUGGAGUGCGAGAGAGGCGAGUGGAAUUGCAGGUGUAGCGGUGAAAUGCGUAGAUAUCUGCAGGAACACCAGAGGCGAAAGCGGCUCGCUGGAUCGCAACUGACGCUGAGGGACGAAAGCUAGGGGAGCAAACAGGAUUAGAUACCCGGGUAGU